AUGACAUCAAAAGCACCAUUUUUUUAUGUUACUUUUAAAUACGUUCUAAAUUAAAGUGAUGGAAUUGGUGGUCUGACAUCUAUACAUAUUUUCCAUCUAUUGUCGACUUAAUCCACACAACUUACUAUUAUUUAUAUGAGGGAACAUUUCAAACAAAAAUUAGGAACCUCAAAAUACAGAAAAGUUUUUCUGAAACAUGCAUUUAAAAUUUACUCAGAUUAAAAUGUGUGGUGUGAAUACGGCCAUGUUA
rnacentral:lncRNA from 1 species